AAAAGCUUUAUUGCUCACACAAAGCCUGUUUGGUGGUCUCUUCACACAGACGCGCAUGAAAUUUGGUGCCGUGACUUGGAUCGGGGGACCUCCCUUGGGAGCUCAAUCCCCUGUCCUCCUGUUCUUUGCUCGGUGAGAAAGAUCCACCUACGACCUCAGGUCCUCAGACUGACCAGCCCAAGGAACAUCUCACCAAUUUUAAAUCAGGUAAGCAGCCUCUUCUUACUCUCUUCUCCAACCUCUCUCACUGUCCCUCAACCACUUUCUCCUUUCCACUCUUCACUCUCCCUUCUCUUAAUUUCAAUUCCUUUCAUUUUCUGGGAGAGACAAAGGAGACAUGUUUUAUCCGUGGACCGAAAACUCCGGCGCCGGUCACGGACUGGGAAGGCAGCCUUCCCUUGGUGUUUAAUCAAUGCAGGGACGCCUCUCUGAUUAUUCACCCACAUUUCAAAGGUGUCAGACCACGCAGGGACGCCUGCCUUGGUCCUUCACCCUUCUUCCAAACGCCUGAACCGCAGCGGCCAGGCGUUCCUCCAGAACCUCCUCCCACAGGAGCUUGCUACAUGUGCCGGAAAUCUGGCCACUGGGCCAAGGAAUGCCCGAAGCCCGGGAUUCCUCCUAAGCUGCGUCCCAUCUGUGUGGGACCCCACUGAAAAUCGGACUGUUCAACUCACCUGGCAGCCACUCCCAGAGCCCCUGGAACUCUGGCCCAAGGCUCUCUGACUCCUUCCCAGAUCCUCUCGGCUUAGCGGCUGAAGACUGACACCGCCCGAUCGCCUCGAAAGCCCCCUAGACCAUCACGGACGCCGAGCUUCAGAGCACUGCUGAUGGCUAACAUUUUUAGGUUGCAAGUGUUCUGGCCUUGAAGAUAUGGUAACUGGUUGGGAACACAAAGUUGUCACCUAGGCAAAGGAUGAGAGUGGAUGUCAAGAAGCAAGGCUAUGCUGGAUCCUUUCUGCUGUUCUACCAGAUCCAUCCUCCACCGUCAUCUAUCAUUGUCUGUGUGGAUCUUGAUCAACGGACUUUGCCUCUGGCUCCUGAUUGGGUUUGCCCAAUGGGAAGCAGAAGAGAGUGAAGUUGUGGCUCCUUCUUUUCACAGAGCUGCAGGUUUCUUGAACUUUUCAUCUUGCAAAACUGACUCUAUACCCACUGGUCAAGUGAUCUUCAACAAGGGCACUGAGACUAUAAAGUGGGGAAAGAAUAUUUUCUUCAACAAAUGGUAUUGAGAAAACUGAAUAUCUAUGUACAAAAGAAUGAAGUUGGACUCUUACAUUAUACCAUAUUUUAAAAUGAAGUCAAAAUGGGAUUAAAGAUCUGAAACUUUAAAACUCCUAAAAUAAUAGGGAAGAAUCUUUACAAAGCUGAAUUUGGCAAUGAUUUAUUGGCUAUGACACCAAAAGCACAAGCAAUGAAAGCAAAAAUAGACAAAUGGAACUACAUCAAACUAAAAAGCUUCUGCACAGCAAAGAAAGCAAUCAACAGAGUGAAAAGACAAUUUAUGGAAUAGGAUAAAAUAUUUGCAAAUCAUAUAUCUGGGAAGGAGUCAAUAUCAAGAAUAUAUGAAGAACACCUGUAACUUAACAACAAAAAUAACCCAACUUAAAAAAUUGGCAAAGGACUUAUAUACAUAUUUCUCCAUAGAAGAUAUACAAAUGCCCAAAAAGCAUAUGAAAAGGUGUUCAACAUCACUAAUUAUUUAGAAAACGCAUGUCAAAGCCACAGUGAGAUAUCACUUUAUACCUAUUAGCAUGGCUGCUAUUUAAAAAACAAAAACAACAACAAAAACAAACAAAAAAAAAACAAAAACAGAAAAUAACAAGGGCUGGCAAGAAUGUGGAGAAAUUGGAACCCCUGUGCACUGUUAGUGGUGAUGCAAAAUGGUUCAAUCCCCAUGAAAAUAUAUCUCUGGACUCUAUUCUGGUCCACUGGUCUGUAUGUCUGUCUUUACAUCAAUACCAUACUGUUUUGAUUGCAGUAGCUUUGGAAUAUGUUUUGUAAUCAGGAAGUGUGAGGAUUCUGGUUUUCUCAUUUCUCUUAGGAUUGUUUUGACUAUAUGGCUUCUUUUGAGAUUUCAUAUGAAUUUGAGAAUUUUUUAUUUUUAAAAAUUCCAUUGAAAUUUCAUAGGGAUGGCAUCGAAUCUGUAGAUUACUUUACAUAGUUUGCAUAUUUUAAUAAUAUUAAGUCUUGCAAUCUGUGAAAAUAGGAUGUUUUUUCAUUGAUUUGUGUCUUCUUUAAUUUCUUUCAGCAAUGUGGUGUAGUUUUUAGUGUAUAAGUCUUUCACCUCUUUGCAUAAGUUUAUUCCUAAGUAUUAUAUAUUUUUGAUGCUAUAAUAAAUGAAUUUUUUUCUUAAUUAUCUUUUAAGGUUGUUCAUUGUUAAUGUAUAGAAAUGCAACUGAUUUUUGUGUGUUGAUUUUGUAUCUUGCAACUUUGCUGAAUUCAUUUAUUAGCUUAAACAGCUUUUUUUGUGGAGUUCUUACAGGUCUCUACAAAUAUGGUCAGAGGCGUUCGAACUAGAGUGACUCCAUCUUGAAUAGGGGGUGGGUAAAAUAAGACUGAGACCUACUGGGCUGUGUUCCCAGGAGAUUAAGCAUUCUUAGUCACAGGAUGAGAAAGGAGGUCAGCACAAGAUACAAGUUACAAAGACCUUGCUGAUAAAACAGGAUGAGGUAAAGAAGCUGGCCAAAACUCACCAAAACCAAGAUGAUGAUGAACGUGACCUCUAAACGUCCUCACUGCUCAUUAUAUGCCAAUUAUAAUGUAUUAGCAUAUUAAAAGGCACUCCCACCAGCGCCAUGACAGUUCACAAAUGCCAUGGCAAUGACUGGAAGUUACCCUCUAUAGUUUAAAAACAGGAGGGACCCUCAGUUCUGAGAAAUCUCUGUCCCUUUCCCAGAAAACUCACGAAUAAUCCACCCCUUGUUUAGCAUAAAAUCAAGAAAUAACUAUAAAUAUAUCCAGUUGAGCAACCCAUACUGCUGCUCUGCCUAUGGAGUAGCCAUUCUUUUGUUUCUUUAGGUUUUUAAUAAACUUACUUUCACUUUACUCUUUGAACUCGCCCCAAAUUCUUUCUUGUGCAAGGUCCAAGAACCCUUUCCUGGGUUCUGGAUCAGGAUCCUUUUCCAGUAACAAUGUCAUCUGCGAACAGAUAAUUUUAUUUCUUCCUUUUCAAUUUAGAUACCUUGUAUUUCUUUUUCUUUCCUAAUUGUUUUUGCCUAAUUGCUAGGACUGCCAGUACUAUGUUGAAUAGAAGUGGAGAGAGUGGACAUUCUUGCCUUGUUCCUGAUCUCUUAUAUGAAAAGCUUUCAGUCUUUCAUUAUUGAGUAUGAUGCUAGCUGUGGGCUUUUCAUAUAUGGCCUUUAUUUUGUUGAGGUAAAGUAUCUCUAUUUCUAGUUUGUUGAGUGUUUUUAUAAUAAAAAGGCAUUAAAAUUUUGUCAAAUGCUUUUUGUGUCAAUUGAGAUGAUUAUGUAAUUUUUAUCCUUUCUUCUGUUAAUGUGGUUUAUUACACUGAUUGGUUUUUAUAUGUUGAAUAACCCUUGCCUCUUAGAGAUAAAACCCACUUAGUCAUGGUGUGUAAUCCUUUUAAGGUACAUUUGAACUCUGCUAGAAUUUUAUUCAGAAUUUUUGCAUUAAUAUUUAUCAUGGAUAUUGAACCUCAUAGUAUUCUUUUCUCAUAGCAGAUUGAUCUGGCUUUGCUAUCAGGUUAAUUUUGGGCUCAGAGAAUAAGAUUGGGUUUUGCCUCCUCUUUAAUUUUCUGGAAGAGCUUGAGAAGGAUUGGUGUUAACCUUUCUUUAAAUAUUUGGUAGAAUUUUCCAAUGAAACCAUCUGGUCCUUGUCUUUUCUUUUCUGGGAGGUUUUUGAUUACUGAUUCAGUCUCCUUACUGGUUAUAGGUUUGUUCAGACUUUUUAUUUCAUGAUUAAAUCUUGGUAGAUGGCAUUUUUCUAGUAAUUUAUCCAUUUUUUUCUAGGAUAUCCACUUGGUAUAAAAUAAAAUAUUUCCUGUCAUAUGCAAAACAACUUUCAUUUCAUUCUUGAGUGGUGCUUACUUCUGAUCACAAUUGUGUAUAACAGAGAUGUCCAAUCUUUUAGCUUCCCUGGGCCACACUGAAAGAAGAGUUGUCUUGGGCCACACAUAAAACACACUAACACUAAUGAUAGCUG
rnacentral:lncRNA from 1 species